rnacentral:tRNA from 1 species
GUCUUGUUAGUUUUAGUGGUAAAACACUUCUUUGGUAUAGAAGCGACACAGGUUCGAUUCCUGUACUAGACU